GCAUAUCAAUAAGCGGAGGAAAAGAAACCAACAGGGAUUGCCCUAGUAACGGCGAGUGAAGCGGCAACAGCUCAAAUUUGAAAUCUGGCUUUCGGGCCCGAGUUGUAAUUUGUAGAGGAUGAUUUUGAUGCGGUGCCUUCCGAGUUCCCUGGAACGGGACGCCAUAGAGGGUGAGAGCCCCGUCUGGUUGGAUGCCAAAUCUCUGUAAAUCUCCUUCGACGAGUCGAGUAGUUUGGGAAUGCUGCUCUAAAUGGGAGGUAUAUGUCUUCUAAAGCUAAAUACCGGCCAGAGACCGAUAGCGCACAAGUAGAGUGAUCGAAAGAUGAAAAGCACUUUGAAAAGAGAGUUAAAAAGUACGUGAAAUUGUUGAAAGGGAAGCGUUUAUGACCAGACUUGGGCUUGGUUAAUCAUCUGGGGUUCUCUCCAGUGCACUUUUCCAGUCCAGGCCAGCAUCAGUUUUCGCCGGGGGAUAAAGGCUUCGGGAAUGUGGCUCCCCUCGGGGAGUGUUAUAGCCCGUUGUGUAAUACCCUGGCGGGGACUGAGGUUCGCGCUUCUGCAAGGAUGCUGGCGUAAUGGUCAUCAACGACCCGUCUUGAAACACGGACCAAGGAGUCGUCUUCGUAUGCGAGUGUUCGGGUGUCAAACCCCUACGCGUAAUGAAAGUGAACGCAGGUGAGAGCUUCGGCGCAUCAUCGACCGAUCCUGAUGUUCUCGGAUGGAUUUGAGUAAGAGCAUACGGGGCCGGACCCGAAAGAAGGUGAACUAUGCCUGUGUAGGGUGAAGCCAGAGGAAACUCUGGUGGAGGCUCGCAGCGGUUCUGACGUGCAAAUCGAUCGUCAAACAUGGGCAUGGGGGCGAAAGACUAAUCGAACCUUCUAGUAGCUGGUUUCCGCCGA
rnacentral:rRNA from 1 species